GACGAACGCUGGCGGCGUGCUUAACACAUGCAAGUCGAACGGAAAGGCCCUGCUUUUGCGGGGUGCUCGAGUGGCGAACGGGUGAGUAACACGUGUGUAUACUGCACUUGACUUUGGGAUAACAUCAGGAAACUGGGGCUAAUAUCGGGUAGGAGAUCUUGAUGCGUGGGGGGGGUUGGUAAGUGUCGGCGGUUGGGGAUGGACUCGCGGGUUACCGGCUUGUUGGUGAGGUAGUGGCUUACCAAGGUUUUGAAGGGUACGCGGCCUGGGAGGGUGGCCGGCCACAUUGGGACUGAGAGACGGCCCAGACGCCUACGGUAGGCAGCAGUGGGGAAUAUUGCACAAUGGGCGGAAGCCUGAGGCAGCAGCGUCGCGUGCGUGAUGACGGCCUUCGGGUUGUGAACCGCUUUCGCCUGUGACGAAGCGUGAGUGACGGUAAUGAGUAAAGAAGCACCGGCUAACUACGUG
rnacentral:rRNA from 1 species